GUCUACGGCCAUACCACCCUGAACGCGCCCGAUCUCACCUGAUCUCGGAAGCUAAGCAGGGUCCAGCCUGGCUAGUACUUGGAUGGAAGAAUGAGGCUAAAAUAGGGGGGCACUGAUG
rnacentral:rRNA from 1 species